AUAUCAAUAAGCGGAGGAAAAGAAACUAACCAGGAUUCCCCUAGUAACUGCGAGUGAACCGGGAAAAGCUCAAAUUUUGAAUCUGGCGGUCCUCCGGGCCGUCCGAGUUGUAAUCUAGAGAAGCGUCUUCCGCGCUGGACCGUGUAUAAGUUUCCUGGAAAGGAACGUCGUAGAGGGUGACAAUCCCGUCUUUGACACGGACUCCCAGGGCUUUGUGAUCCGCUCUCGACGAGUCGAGUUGUUUGGGAAUGCAGCUCAAAUAGGGUGGUAAAUUCCAUCUAAAGCUAAAUACAGGCGAGAGACCGAUAGCGAACAAGUACCGUGAGGGAAAGAUGAAAAGAACUUUGGAAAGAGAGUUAAACAGUAC
rnacentral:rRNA from 1 species